GCAGUGUACUUUAUGUUGUUCAGAUCAAAUCUAACAUAUUGUAUAUGUUUCUGUAUAAAAUACUAAAAAUAAAACAAAUAUCCCCCUCCCCCGCAAAGAGAAAUGUAUUUUCUUGUUAUACGACAAUUGGUUAAGAAUCAGGCAAGCGUAGCUUCCAGUUUCUUUUCAGCCACUUACUUAGCUAUGUGACCUUGGGCAAAUUACUUAAUUCCUCUAUGCCCUAGUUUCUUCAUCUGUACAAUGAGGAUAAUUAUAGCUUCUAUCUCUCAGGAUUACUGAGGAUAAUAAUAUACACAUGCCAGGACCUGGUGUCUAGGUGAAACUCAAUAAAAAUAAUUAAUGUUGUCAUUGUUAUUAGAAUAAAUAUUUAUUGUGAAAAUUAGAAUUUACACAUAAGCAAACAUGAAAACAUAACCAUGAGUUGCCUUCUGGAGUUAACUAUUGUUAAUUUUUGGAUAUUUAUGCAUUUAUCAAUGUGAUCUGAAAAAUAAUCAAAUUGAAGGACAUAAUAAUCAAUAGCUGGUGAUAGCUUAGGAUGAAUUAGCAGUCACCAAAUGUUUAAAGGGCUGUUUUACAGAAGAGGGGUAGACAUAUUCUAUGAGGCUGCAAAUAAUCACAGCAAGAGGCAAGGGUUACAACGAGAGCUGUCCAGCAACGGAAUGGGCUGCCCCACACCAUAGGGAACUCCUUGUUACAACAAUAGUCUUAGCUGGCGACCAUUUGUCAGAAAAGUGAUGAAAGAGAGGUCAAGCUAAAUGGCUUCUAAAACUCUUCCUAACACUUUAUGACCAAGAAAUACUUGCUGGAUGUAUAUAUAUAUGAUUCACAGCCUACAUAUGACAAUUUGUGUGGUUCUUACUGUUUAAUACUAGGUGGUAAGAACAGUUCCAAAUAUAUCCCAUGAAAGUUAAUAGGAAAUUCUUAGCAUAGAUCAGAUAGUACCUCUCUGUCAUAGAAAACUGAGGACGUGCAACUCCACCAAUUAAUUCCACUCAAUAUGGAGAAAGAAAUCAAAGGCGAGCCUGGAAGGAGUUUAUAUCUUAUCUUCAGUAACCUAGGUCAACACCUUGUGUGGGGACUUCCCUGGUGGUCCAGUGGUGAAGACCCCGCACUUCCAAUGCAGGGGACACGGGUUCGACCCCUGGCCAAGGAAGAUCCCACAUGCCUCAGAGCACCUAAGACCAUGCGCCACAACUACUGAGCCUGUGUGCUGCAAUUCCUGAAGGCUGAAAGCUCUAGAGCUGUGCUCUGCAACGAGAGAAACCACUGCAAUGAGAAGCCCACGCGCUGCAACUGAGAAAGCCCACAUGCAGCAAACAAGACCCAACAACCAAAGAUAAAUCAAUAAUUAAUUAAAAAAAUACCUACUGUGGGCUUGCACACUCUCCCUCUGUACAUGUGUAUGUAUUUACUUAUUUAUCACUUUUUCUGACUUUUUUUUUCUGUUGUGAGUAAGAUAUAGACAUGAUACCAUUUUCCCCUAAGUACUUCAGUGUAUAUUUCCUAAAAACAAGGACAAUAUCUUUCAUAACCACAGUGCAAUUAUGGAAAUUAAGAAGUCAAUACUGAUUUAAUAAUAUUAUCUAAUCUAUAAAUUCAUUCAAAUUUUGC
ensembl:lncRNA